rnacentral:rRNA from 2 species
AUUGAACGCUGGCGGCAGGCUUAACACAUGCAAGUCGAGCGGGGGAAGGUAGCUUGCUACUGGACCUAGCGGCGGACGGGUGAGUAAUGCUUAGGAAUCUGCCUAUUAGUGGGGGACAACAUCUCGAAAGGGAUGCUAAUACCGCAUACGUCCUACGGGAGAAAGCAGGGGAUCUUCGGACCUUGCGCUAAUAGAUGAGCCUAAGUCGGAUUAGCUAGUUGGUGGGGUAAAGGCCUACCAAGGCGACGAUCUGUAGCGGGUCUGAGAGGAUGAUCCGCCACACUGGGACUGAGACACGGCCCAGACUCCUACGGGAGGCAGCAGUGGGGAAUAUUGGACAAUGGGGGGAACCCUGAUCCAGCCAUGCCGCGUGUGUGAAGAAGGCCUUAUGGUUGUAAAGCACUUUAAGCGAGGAGGAGGCUACUUUAGUUAAUACCUAGAGAUAGUGGACGUUACUCGCAGAAUAAGCACCGGCUAACUCUGUGCCAGCAGCCGCGGUAAUACAGAGGGUGCGAGCGUUAAUCGGAUUUACUGGGCGUAAAGCGUGCGUAGGCGGCUUAUUAAGUCGGAUGUGAAAUCCCCGAGCUUAACUUGGGAAUUGCAUUCGAUACUGGUGAGCUAGAGUAUGGGAGAGGAUGGUAGAAUUCCAGGUGUAGCGGUGAAAUGCGUAGAGAUCUGGAGGAAUACCGAUGGCGAAGGCAGCCAUCUGGCCUAAUACUGACGC